CACGUAGGGUGCGAGCGUUGUCCGGAAUUAUUGGGCGUAAAGAGCUCGUAGGCGGUGUGUCGCGUCGGCCGUGAAAACCUGCAGCUCAACUGCGGGCCUGCAGCCGAUACGGGCAGGCUAGAGUUCGGUAGGGGAGACUGGAAUUCCUGGUGUAGCGGUGAAAUGCGUAGAUAUCGGAAGGAACACCAGUGGCGAAAGCGGCUUCCUGGUCCAGCACCGACGUUCAGGCACGAAAGCGUGGGGAGCAAACAGG
rnacentral:rRNA from 1 species